UAAUCCCCAAUAGGGACGGGGAAUCCCCAAUAUCUUAUUACAGAGAUUGGGGCGGGUAAGGGGAUGGAGAAUGAAGUCGGGUUCCCCAUUAAUUUAAUCCCCUUACCCUACCCUCCCCAUUGCCGUCCCUACACCCAGCUAUUGUAGUCCAAGACGGAGAAAAAGCUGUACCGCCGAGGCUUGUAUAAAUGGAUUGGAUCCGGUACCCCGAUCUUGCACUCUGUCUCUUGCGUCCGGAUUUAGGUAGCAGCUUCAAUCCUCAUUAUCUUCAGAACUGGUCUUUGAACAUUCCUCCACAAUCAAAGCUUUGGAAAGGUAAGCUCGUGUGCACAACAUCACUCUUAAAGGCAAAGCAAUUGUUAAUUAACUUUGUUCACCGCUACUCACCGAAAACAGUUAAUAACUUAAUAUUGCUGCACUUUGCCUUUGCUGUUGUCUUCCUACUGUUGUGCAACCUCCAAAGAUUUAAUUAAUUAACAGGCCAUCUUUUUGUCCUCUAGCUUGUGAGAUACAAAGUUUAAGUCUUUAUUUGUCUCUUGUCUUCUUACUGACUUUGUAUAGCAAGUGUAAGAUUGGAAUAAUUAAUUGAAUCAUACAUACUUGCCACCGUUUGACUUUCGCAAGUUCCAGGUUGAACAUUCAAGCCAUGUUUCUUGUCUUCUUGUUAUCAUGACUCUAGAAACAAGAUAAACAAGUUUCAUUUCUAUAUUUGUUGCUUAAAAGCUUGAAUCAACGAUUUCAAAGAAGUCAUAUAAUUAAACUUGCUACCAAUAGCUUUGCUUUGACCAUGUAUAGAAAUGAUUGUCUCAAAAGGGUGUCGGUUGUUCAUGAACAGCCCCCUUUUGCUUGAAGAAAACCUGCUAAUUCCCUGCCGAAGCAAAUGAUGCAGUGUAUACCUGAACUUCUCCUUUCAAGCUGCUUUGAUUUUGCUCUCUGUUUUGACAGAGUCUUAGCCUCUUGUUUACUGAAUAUUUCUCUCUUCUCUGUGUUUCUCUUCAAGGGUGGUUGGAUAAGUGUAGCCAGAUAGCUGAUAACCACUUUGUAUUUGUAUUCAAACUUAACUUUAUCACUUGUUAUCUGUUGAAUGGGUCAAAAAUUUGACCAAGACUUGAAUCAA